CCUACGGGAGACUGCAGUGAGGAAUAUUGGUCAAUGGACGAGAGUCUGAACCAGCCAAGUAGCGUGAAGGAUGACUGCCCUAUGGGUUGUAAACUUCUUUUAUAUGGGAAUAAAAUGUUCCACGUGUGGGAUUUUGUAUGUACCAUAUGAAUAAGGAUCGGCUAACUCCGUGCCAGCAGCCGCGGUAAUACGGAGGAUUCAAGCGUUAUCCGGAUUUAUUGGGUUUAAAGGGUGCGUAGGCGGUCUGAUAAGUCAGUUGUGAAAUCUUGCGGCUCAACUGUGAAAUUGCAGUUGAAACUGGUCGGCUAGAGAACAGUAGAGGUAGGCGGAAUGCGUGGUGUAGCGGUGAAAUGCUUAGAGAUCACACAGAACACCGAUUGCGAAGGCAGCUUACCAGACUGCAACUGACGUUGAGGCACGAAAGUGUGGGUAGCAAACAGGAUUAGAUACCCGUGUAGUC
rnacentral:rRNA from 1 species